rnacentral:lncRNA from 1 species
UGAUAAUGUAGCAAGUGCAGACGAUGUUAAGGAAAAGCCAAAUAGAACUUAGAUGGCCAGCUGAAAACAUACCUAAAAGUUAUUCGACAAUAAUGAACCAACUGUAAAACAAUAAUUCCGUAACUUCCCGCAUUAUAAGAAACAGUAAAACCAAGUUCCUCAGACUAAUGUCAGAAAUCAUCCAUUCUUCAUCACUGUAAACAUACCUAAAAGUUAUUCGACAAU